UACAGAGGGUGCAAGCGUUAAUCGGAAUUACUGGGCGUAAAGCGUGCGUAGACGGUCAUGUAAGUCGGGUGUGAAAGCCCCGGGCUCAACCUGGGAAUUGCAUUCGAGACUGCAUGGCUAGGAUGCGGAAGAGGGAAGCGGAAUUUCCGGUGUAGCGGUGAAACGCGUAGAUAUCGGAAGGAACACCAGUGGCGAAAGCGGCUUCCUGGUCCAGCAUCGACGUUCAGGCACGAAAGCGUGGGGAGCAAACAGG
rnacentral:rRNA from 1 species